UUCCCUUUCACAACCUGAAUGUGUCCAUAAAAGCAUAAGGUUGCAGAUUUUGUGGGUUUAUGACUGCUACCUUUUAUACAUCACCAAAUGAGACAUAAAUGAUAUUCACGAUUUAUUUAAAUAAAGAGGUUGAUGCCAUGCUUUGGGCGAUUCUAAAUUCCAAAAAUCGUGAUGCUAAUACUAGCUCUAGGAAUAAUUAACAUAUGAAUUUAACUAGUUUAGCAGGUUUUCUUGUUGUAUCAAACUAUGUGUUAACAUAUCAUGUGUAGGGAACCGGGUCUGGAUCCAGACCCGGUCCCAUGGGCACGGGUACCGAGAGUGGCUCGGUACCCUAGGCGUUUUUCCCUCUUAUUUAAUCCCACUUAUAGUGUAAUUGUUGAUUAAGUGGAAUAACAUUUUCUCUUUCCUAGGGUUGCGGUUGUGCACCUAGGUUAGAGCUUCUCCGUGGUUUUUCACCUCUCUUUGAGGUUUUCCACGUAUAUUGUGUGGUCCUUCUCUUUCUCUCCAUCUUGGUGUGUGUUUCUACAUGGUAUCAGAGCCAACGCGUGAGAGAUCGUUGGUGUGAUAGUCGUGUUUCUGCCGUUUUUUGCCGUUGCUGUUUCCGCCGUUUUUUUUCUCUGCCGCUGUUGCGCCGCCGCCGUCCAGCGCUGCCAGCUGCGCCGCCACCGUCCAGUGCUGCCACCUGCGCCGCCAUCGUCCAGCGCGGUUGUUCUCUGCUGCGUUGCCGCGGUCCAGCGCCGCCGUCGCCCACUUCAGCGCCGCCGUCGCCACUUCAGCGCCAUCGCCGUCCCGCGCCACUGCUGCCCACCGCCGUCGCUCUCUCCCGCACCGCCGCUGCCUCUUGUUUGUCGUCUCUGGUGCUGGGUAUUCUUUCUCCUUGGUGAUUGUGAUGGCCGAGGAGAUGUCCCUCAAGAUCGAUGAUGCCCUAGACUCGGGCAGCAAUACCAAGAGCGAGAUCUUGCCUGUUCAAGUCACCUCCAUCCGGCUGAACAAGGAUAACUAUCUCUCUUGGUCGGCUGCCCUAGAAAUUGGGAUAACCAAUCGUGGUCGCCUGCCCUACAUCACUGGGGAGAAGCCUGCACCUUCAAAAACCGAUCCGCGAUGGGCUACUUGGACGUUGGAAGAUAGUCAGGUUAAAGUAUGGAUUAUUAGUUCUGUUUCUGCAGAUAUUCAACCUUUGAUCUUGCGUAAAUCGACUGCCUACGACAUGCGGACUGUACUUGCACGGAUGUAUGGCCGUAAGAAGAGAGUAUUGCGUACGUACCAAAUCAAACGUAGCAUAUACUCUCUUAAACAGGGUGACUUGUCUGUAGCCGCUUUCUUUGCAGCCCUAAAGACUAAGUGGGAGGAACUUGACUACCAUGUGAAUGAUGACUGGCACUGUGGGUCUGAUCAUGCCUUGUACUGGGACAAAGAGUGGAUGGAUCGGACGUUUCUUUUCCUCGGAGGCUUACGCGAUGAAUUUGAAUCCAUUAGGAGCCAAAUUUUCAAUUGUGACGAGGUCCCCGGAAUUGAAGAGGUGUAUGCCCGUGUGGAAUCUGAGGAACAGCGUCGACAGGUGAUGCAUAUUGACACCAGUCAGGGGAGUUCUCCUUCAGCCUUUGUUAGUCGUGCUUCUGGGAUUGGACAGCGUCCUGUUCGGCGGUGUAGCCAUUGCAACAAAUCAGGACAUUCUGUUCAUUUUUGUUGGGAUCUUCAUCCUGAGAGGCGGCUUGUCCGGGGUCGUCCUCCUUCUAGCCGCCGGAGUCCUUCUGUGCCUGAGCCUAGUCAGAGUAGUCCUUCAAAUGUUGCCAAAUCUAAGCUUUCCUCCGAUCAAAUCAAAGAACUGCAAGCGUAUAUCAGCCGGCUGUCUACUACUCAGGAGGAACUUCCACGUUUGAGGGGGCUAAGUUAGCCCAACCUCUCGUGGCCACUAGUGACCAAGGUAAUUCCUCACAUGGUGAUUGGAUUGUUGACAGUGGUGCUACGCAUCAUAUGACAGGGGACCCUAAGAUGUUCCAAGAAUACAAAUUGUCUUCGGGGCAGCAACGUGUAUCUAUGGCUGAUGGUUCUUCUAUCUCUGUGGCUGGACUUGGUGACGGGGCAGAAGAUUGGGAUUGGUUCGGCUAUUGAUGGACUCUACAGACUGCCUGUGCAGGUUGCGUCCGCUCUUAUUUCAGCCACUAGUGGACAGUUGUCAGGCAUGGAAGACAGAUCUACUAUUAUGCGAUGGCACGAGCGGCUUGGUCAUCUUCCGUUUCCAUUGAUUAAGAAGUUGUUUCCUAGUUUGUUUCAUUUUGUUUCCAUGGACUCCUUCACCUGUGAAGUGUGUCAGUUAGCUAAACAUGUUAGGGCCUCGUACCCUAUUUCAUUCAAUAAAACCACUCGUCCAUUUGCUUUGGUUCAUUCUGAUGUUUGGGGUCCUUCGGGAGUACCCACUUGUCGUGGUUUUCAUUACUUUAUGACCCUUAUUGAUGAUUACUCCCGUUGUACGUUCGUGUAUCUGUUGAAAGAACGUAGUGAAGUUCCCGUUAUUGUAAAAAAUUUUGUGGCCUUUGUUGAGACUCAGUUUCAGACGUCUGUCCAAGCUUUUCGCACCGAUAAUGCUAGAGAGUAUGUCUCUCAAUCCCUAGAUGAUUUCUUGAAGAGCAAGGGUAUUGUCCAUGAAACGUCAUGUAGUUACACACCUCCCCAAAAUGGCGUGGCUGAACGAAAGAAUCGCCAUUUGCUUGAUGUUACUCGGGCUCUUCUGUUCCAUCGACAGGUUCCCAAGCGCUACUGGGGUGAUGCGCUUCUCACUAGUGCCCACCUUAUCAACCGUAUGCCUACCCGUGUGUUGCAGGGCUAUUCCCCGUACUCUAUGCUUUGGCCUUCUCAGAAUCCCUGGCCUCUUACUCCUCGGGUGUUCGGGUGUGUCUGUUUUGUUCAUGACCAUAGUCCCACCCUCAAGAAACUUGAUCCUCGGUCUGUCAAGGCUGUCUUCCUGGGGUAUUCCUCCACUCAGAAGGGAUACAAAUGUGUUGAUCCUACCACCUCUAAAGUCUA